GGAAUAUAAGAUUCAUGUCUACUUUUGAGAUAAAAUGCUUCCAAGAAGCCCUCGGCUUUGGGCAUGCUUCUUGAGGGCCAGCCUCCAAACCCGAGGGGAUACUUUCACUUUGGAGGAAACACUGGAGCUGCCCUGUCCCCCUCCCCUCUUCACACGGAGCCUUUUUUGGUUGUUUUUGUUUUUUUGAGACAAGGUCUCCCUCUGUCACCCAGGCUGGAGUGCAGUGGUGUGAUCACAGCUCACUGCAGCCUCGAACUCCUGGGCUCAAGCGAUCCUUCUGCCUCGAGAGUGACUGUCCUGUUCCCCACUGAGAUGUCCAGCUGGCUCUCAGAAGCAGGACACUAGGACAGGCUCAAGAGUCCAGGUCGACGCGGUGCUGUGGCCAGACUGAAGCAGCUUUGCCACGUCCCCCUGGUCUCAUCCACCAUCAGGCCCCUGCUGGCCGUGUGUGCCUGUUCCCCCUCAGGAUGACAACUUGGCCUCACCUUUCUCUGUAUGCAGCACCUUGAGGCUCUUUGAAAAUCCUCAGGGACUCCCAAAGCCUGUGUGGGUCAGGAGAGCCGGGCCAAGGAAGGUCCAUGCUGCACAGGGCAGGCAAGGACUCAGCACUGCUGGGUGUUUAGACUGUUUCCUGGCUCAGACCAAGAAAACUCUAAACUCUGUAGACACAGCUCCCAACUCCCACCCACUCCCCACUCCAGCUCUGACCCAGGCUUUUCCAUUCACAGAUCCCAGACUUUCCAGACCGGCAAAGAGCCCGGAGGCCAAAGCCUGGUAGAGAUGAAAGAGAGUGAGCCAAGCAGAAGGACCAGCAUUUGCAAAAGUCAUGGAAACAGGGAAGUGCCUGAUGUGUGAGGAAGAUGGCAAAAUGUUAAAUGUCCCAGGCGGGGAGGCCAGGCUGGCUGAGGAAGUGACUGGCACCAGAUAAGACUGUGAAUGCCAGGGAGAGUGGGGAACCCCUGCCACGUGGAGGUCACCCAACCCUGGCCCUGGAGCUGUCCCCCUGAGCUGUCCACCCCCAACCUGAAAACUCUGUGCAGCCCUUCCCCUCCUACCUUCCUCCUGCCCUUAGAAACCCUGAUUUCACUGUGGUCAAAUUCCCCUCCAUUCUUGGCUUAGGGAAAACAAUUAUGAGGCAGGAAUUCUUGUAAGAGCUUUUUCUAUAUUAAAAUGCUUGAUCCUCUGUUAAA